AUGGUCCAGAUUGUUGAGGUGGAAAGCCUUAGAUUGUUGAGGUGGUUACUGUCACAUGGGGCAAUCCUGGUACAAAUCAAUUUGCAAAGUACUGUACACGUAGAUUCAGAAACAGGCAUCGUAUCUCGUUCAGGUACUGUAUUGGCAUUUAUUUGUGAGGAAAACUGGUGUGUACAUACGGACAUUGCCAGUAGAGUGCUACUGGUAGGAGUAUUUGCAAACAGUUUAUAUGUUAGGUUGGCCUUCGUUGUACCGGCCGAGUUAAGUGUGUGGUUAUGCAGCAGACUCCGCAGUUUCAUUGGCUUAAGGGCCAGCAUGUGGCACGCGGUUUUGAAUAAGAUUUAA
rnacentral:rRNA from 1 species